rnacentral:lncRNA from 1 species
GGGAUGAAGCACCUUCGAGGAAGUUGUUGGAUGUAUGCCCUAGAAGUCUGAUUUGUCGAUACUUGUAAAAUAUUCUUAGGGCAUAAUUUAUAAAAUUGACUUUGAUAUUAAUAAAAUUAGAUUAUUUUUAUUCACAUUGUGUUUAAUAGUGUUUAUGAAUCAUCCAUUGGGUUAAUGGGUAUGAUAAUACAUAUUCUCAAGAGUUGAGAAUUUGAGACGUAUUAUUAUAGUUAACUCAUAAUUGCUCUC